rnacentral:rRNA from 1 species
AGAGUUUGAUUAUGGCUCAGGACAAACGCUGGCGGCGUGCCUAACACAUGCAAGUCGAACGGACCCUUCGGGGUUAGUGGCAGACGGGUGAGUAACACGUAGGUAAUGUACCUUCUUGCUGGGGAUACCUACCGAAAGGGUGGUUAAUACCGAAUGGUCUCGCGCUGCGGCAUCGCGGUGCGAGUAAAGUGUUUUAGCGCGAGAGGAUCAGCCUGCGGGCCAUCAGCUGGUUGGUGGGGUAACGGCCUACCAAGGCAUCGACGGUUAGCCGGUCUGAGAGGAUGAUCGGCCACACUGGAACUGAGAGACGGUCCAGACUCCUACGGGAGGCAGCAGUGAGGAAUAUUGCGCAAUGGGCGGAAGCCUGACGCCAGCGACGCCGCGUGAGGGAUGAAGGUUUUCGGAUCGUAAACCUCUGUUAAGCAGGGAAGAGAACGGACGGUACCUGCUGAGGAAGCAUCGGCUUACUACGUGCCAGCCGCCGC